GAUUAAGUUAUUAAGGGCGCACGGUGGAUGCCUUGGCACUAGAAGCCGAUGAAGGACGUUACUAACGACGAUAUGCUUUGGGGAGCUGUAAGUAAGCUUUGAUCCAGAGAUUUCCGAAUGGGGAAACCCAGCAUGAGUUAUGUCAUGUUAUCGAUAUGUGAAUACAUAGCAUAUCAGAAGGCACACCCGGAGAACUGAAACAUCUUAGUACCCGGAGGAAGAGAAAGAAAAUUCGAUUCCCUUAGUAGCGGCGAGCGAAACGGGAAGAGCCCAAACCAACAAGCUUGCUUGUUGGGGUUGUAGGACACUCUAUACGGAGUUACAAAGGACGACAUUAGACGAAUCAUCUGGAAAGAUGAAUCAAAGAAGGUAAUAAUCCUGUAGUCGAAAAUGUUGUCUCUCUUGAGUGGAUCCUGAGUACGACGGAGCACGUGAAAUUCCGUCGGAAUCUGGGAGGACCAUCUCCUAAGGCUAAAUACUCUCUAGUGACCGAUAGUGAACCAGUACCGUGAGGGAAAGGUGAAAAGCACCCCGGAAGGGGAGUGAAAUAGAACCUGAAACCGUGUGCUUACAAGUAGUCAGAGCCCGUUAAUGGGUGAUGGCGUGCCUUUUGUAGAAUGAACCGGCGAGUUACGAUUUGAUGCAAGGUUAAGCAGUAAAUGUGGAGCCGUAGCGAAAGCGAGUCUGAAUAGGGCGUUUAGUAUUUGGUCGUAGACCCGAAACCAGGUGAUCUACCCUUGGUCAGGUUGAAGUUCAGGUAACACUGAAUGGAGGACCGAACCGACUUACGUUGAAAAGUGAGCGGAUGAACUGAGGGUAGCGGAGAAAUUCCAAUCGAACCUGGAGAUAGCUGGUUCUCUCCGAAAUAGCUUUAGGGCUAGCCUCAAGUGAUGAUUAUUGGAGGUAGAGCACUGUUUGGACGAGGGGCCCCUCUCGGGUUACCGAAUUCAGACAAACUCCGAAUGCCAAUUAAUUUAACUUGGGAGUCAGAACAUGGGUGAUAAGGUCCGUGUUCGAAAGGGAAACAGCCCAGACCACCAGCUAAGGUCCCAAAAUAUAUGUUAAGUGGAAAAGGAUGUGGCGUUGCCCAGACAACUAGGAUGUUGGCUUAGAAGCAGCCAUCAUUUAAAGAGUGCGUAAUAGCUCACUAGUCGAGUGACACUGCGCCGAAAAUGUACCGGGGCUAAACAUAUUACCGAAGCUGUGGAUUGUCCUUUGGACAAUGGUAGGAGAGCGUUCUAAGGGCGUUGAAGCAUGAUCGUAAGGACAUGUGGAGCGCUUAGAAGUGAGAAUGCCGGUGUGAGUAGCGAAAGACGGGUGAGAAUCCCGUCCACCGAUUGACUAAGGUUUCCAGAGGAAGGCUCGUCCGCUCUGGGUUAGUCGGGUCCUAAGCUGAGGCCGACAGGCGUAGGCGAUGGAUAACAGGUUGAUAUUCCUGUACCACCUAUAAUCGUUUUAAUCGAUGGGGGGACGCAGUAGGAUAGGCGAAGCGUGCGAUUGGAUUGCACGUCUAAGCAGUAAGGCUGAGUAUUAGGCAAAUCCGGUACUCAUUAAGGCUGAGCUGUGAUGGGGAGAAGACAUUGUGUCUUCGAGUCGUUGAUUUCACACUGCCGAGAAAAGCCUCUAGAUAGAAAAUAGGUGCCCGUACCGCAAACCGACACAGGUAGUCAAGAUGAGAAUUCUAAGGUGAGCGAGCGAACUCUCGUUAAGGAACUCGGCAAAAUGACCCCGUAACUUCGGGAGAAGGGGUGCUCUUUAGGGUUAACGCCCAGAAGAGCCGCAGUGAAUAGGCCCAAGCGACUGUUUAUCAAAAACACAGGUCUCUGCUAAACCGUAAGGUGAUGUAUAGGGGCUGACGCCUGCCCGGUGCUGGAAGGUUAAGAGGAGUGGUUAGCUUCUGCGAAGCUACGAAUCGAAGCCCCAGUAAACGGCGGCCGUAACUAUAACGGUCCUAAGGUAGCGAAAUUCCUUGUCGGGUAAGUUCCGACCCGCACGAAAGGCGUAACGAUUUGGGCACUGUCUCAACGAGAGACUCGGUGAAAUCAUAGUACCUGUGAAGAUGCAGGUUACCCGCGACAGGACGGAAAGACCCCGUGGAGCUUUACUGUAGCCUGAUAUUGAAAUUCGGCACAGCUUGUACAGGAUAGGUAGGAGCCUUUGAAACGUGAGCGCUAGCUUACGUGGAGGCGCUGGUGGGAUACUACCCUAGCUGUGUUGGCUUUCUAACCCGCACCACUUAUCGUGGUGGGAGACAGUGUCAGGCGGGCAGUUUGACUGGGGCGGUCGCCUCCUAAAAGGUAACGGAGGCGCUCAAAGGUUCCCUCAGAAUGGUUGGAAAUCAUUCAUAGAGUGUAAAGGCAUAAGGGAGCUUGACUGCGAGACCUACAAGUCGAGCAGGGUCGAAAGACGGACUUAGUGAUCCGGUGGUUCCGCAUGGAAGGGCCAUCGCUCAACGGAUAAAAGCUACCCCGGGGAUAACAGGCUUAUCUCCCCCAAGAGUUCACAUCGACGGGGAGGUUUGGCACCUCGAUGUCGGCUCAUCGCAUCCUGGGGCUGUAGUCGGUCCCAAGGGUUGGGCUGUUCGCCCAUUAAAGCGGUACGCGAGCUGGGUUCAGAACGUCGUGAGACAGUUCGGUCCCUAUCCGUCGUGGGCGUAGGAAAUUUGAGAGGAGCUGUCCUUAGUACGAGAGGACCGGGAUGGACAUACCUCUGGUGUACCAGUUGUCGUGCCAACGGCAUAGCUGGGUAGCUAUGUGUGGACGGGAUAAGUGCUGAAAGCAUCUAAGCAUGAAGCCCCCCUCAAGAUGAGAUUUCCCAACUUCGGUUAUAAGAUCCCUCAAAGAUGAUGAGGUUAAUAGGUUCGAGGUGGAAGCAUGGUGACAUGUGGAGCUGACGAAUACUAA
rnacentral:rRNA from 1 species